AGCAAGAAAGAGCGGACAUUGUUGUUUAUUUUUUCCAGACAUUCAUUCUUAAUGCGUCACCCAUAGUCCUCUCCACUUAUUGAAACCGACCCCCCCCCCCCCCCCCCGGCAGAUGAAUAAUCAAUACAUGGCGAGCGCCGCAGCGCCCAGCAACACAUAAAUCGGGUCAUGUGACCACGAGUCGUCAGGGGUAAGGGGAGGGGGGUUUGACUCAUCAGAAGGAGUGGAAAAAUACCAAACCGGCAUCCGUGUCUGUCUCCCAACCUUCAGACAGUCGCAUUCCUAACAAUGGCGCAAAGGAAUAUUCGGGACCACACUGCAGCAAAGCAGAUUAGAGAGAGAUGCACCCAGAGUCCUGUGACUCUCAAACAUCCGUGGAAAAAGUGCCAUCUGAAUCCUCUACUAAUGAGCUCACUCUUCUAGAUUAUAUACUCUACAACCCUGUACAACCACCGGCUACCUACAGAUGGAUUUCUUGGUAUUCUGCAUUUACAUUUCCUUGUUUAAAUGUCAAGAAAAACUUCAAACUUGAAGAUCCUGUUUUUGACAGCCUAGUUCCCUUUACCUUGUUAAAAUGUGGUAUG